rnacentral:rRNA from 1 species
CCUACGGGAGGCAGCAGUGGGGAAUAUUGCGCAAUGGGGGAAACCCUGAUGCAGCGACGCCGCGUGAGUGAAGAAGUAUUUCGGUAUGUAAAGCUCUAUCAGCAGGGAAGAAAAGGACGGUACCUGAUUAGGAAACCCCGGCUAACUACGUGCCAGCAGCCGCGGUAAUACGUAGGGGGCAAGCGUUAUCCGGAUUUACUGGGUGUAAAGGGAGCGUAGACGGCAGCACAAGUCUGGAGUGAAAUGCCGGGGCUUAACCCCGGAACUGCUUUGGAAACUGUGCAGCUAGAGUGCAGGAGAGGUAAGUGGAAUUCCUAGUGUAGCGGUGAAAUGCGUAGAUAUUAGGAGGAACACCAGUGGCGAAGGCGGCUGACUGGACUGUAACUGACGGUGAGGCUCGAAAGCGUGGGGAGCAAACAGGAUUAGAUACCCCUGUAGUC